rnacentral:tRNA from 1 species
AUCAGUGUGGUGUAGUGGUUUGAGCAUUGGACUAUGGCUCUGGAGACCAGGGUUCGAAUCCCCCCUUGGCCA